AUUGAACGCUGGCGGCAGGCCUAACACAUGCAAGUCGAACGAGUGGCGGACGGGUGAGUAAUGUCUGGGAAACUGCCCGAUGGAGGGGGAUAACUACUGGAAACGGUAGCUAAUCCCGCAUACCAUCGGAUGUGCCCAGAUGGGAUUAGCUAGUAGGUGGGGUAACGGCUCACCUAGGCGACGAUCCCUAGCUGGUCUGAGAGGAUGACGAGCCAAAUGGGAACGGGGACACGCGCCAGACUCCUACGGGAGGCAGCAGUGGGAAAGAUUGCACAAUGGGCGCAAGCCUGAUGCAGCCAUGCCGCGUGGAUGAAGAAGGCCUUCGGGUUGUAAAGUACUUUCAGCGAGGAGGCGUUACUCGCAGAAGAAGCACCGGCUAACUCCGUGCCAGCAGCCGCGGUAAUUC
rnacentral:rRNA from 1 species